rnacentral:tRNA from 1 species
GGUGAGUUGGCUCAGCGGUUAGAGCGUAGGUCGCGUAACCGUAAGGUCACGGGAUCGAAUCCCUCUAGAAACUG